ensembl:snRNA U1 U1 spliceosomal RNA
AUACUUACCUGGCAGGGGAGCUACCAUGAUCACGAAGGUGGUUUUCCCAGGGCGAGGCUCACCCAUUGCACUCUGGGUGUGCUGACCCCUGUGAUUUCCCAAACGUGGGAAACUCUACUGCGUAAUUUGUGGCAGUGGGGGAACUGCAUUUGCGCUCUCCCCUG